rnacentral:rRNA from 1 species
AAUAGAUACCCCGGUAGUCCACGCCGUAAACGAUGAGUGCUAAGUGUUAGAGGGUUUCCGCCCUUUAGUGCUGCAGCUAACGCAUUAAGCACUCCGCCUGGGGUGUACGGCCGCAAGGCUGAAACUCAAAGGAAUUGACGGGGGCCCGCACAAGCGGUGGAGCAUGUGGUUUAAUUCGAAGCAAUGCGAAGAACCUUACCAGGUCUUGACAUCCUCUGACCUCCCUGGAGACAGGGCCUUCCCCUUCGGGGGACAGAGUGACAGGUGGCGCAUGGUUGUCGUCAGCUCGUGUCGUGAGAUGUUGGGUUAAGUCCCGCAACGAGCGCAACCCUUGACCUUAGUUGCCAGCAUUGAGUUGGGCACUCUAAGGUGACUGCCGGUGACAAACCGGAGGAAGGUGGGGAUGACGUCAAAUCAUCAUGCCCCUUAUGACCUGGGCUACACACGUGCUACAAUGGAUGGUACAAAGGGUCUGCGAGACCGCGAGGUUAAGCCAAUCCCGAGAAAACCCAUUCCCGAGUUCGGAUUGCAGGCUGCAACCCG